UGUAUUCAAGAGGAAUAGUUGUUUAUGUACUUUAUUUUAGUACCAUCUUUUAACCCUCUUUGACCUUUCUCCCUUAAGCGUGUCCCUUCUUGGAAAACCAUCUGACAAUUCCAUCAUGGAACUGGGAAAAAUCUUAGAUUCCUACCAAAAAAGACGUUGCAGUUCUUCGUGGUGUAUGCCUGAUGGCUUGCACCCACCUCACGUUUUGGUGUUGUCCUACACAGCUUCUGCUUGAAGAUAAACCACCAAGAUGAAGACCCUUGUCAUCCAGCAGCACUACUCAAGUGUGUGUUUGUGUGCGAUGAAUAUAAAUGGAUGGAUGGUAGACAAUGAUGUCAGCAUCUUAGCAUACUCGUAUUUUUCUGUGCAACUUUAAAGCUACUUGUGUUGUUCAAAAGCCCUAAAAAGUUUGCAUUAGCAGAAGUCAACAGUUGUUUUCAUUUGUAAUUUUAUAUUUGGAUUUACAUGCAUAUAAUUACACUUAAAAUGUAUUCUGAUUUCAUGCAAUCACAUUUAUAUUAAUGUGUAAUUUAAAAAUAAUUAGUUUGUGUCAAUGUCUGUUUGCUGCAGGAUGCGAGUGAGGUACCAAAAACGACAAAAGCUGCAAUUUGACACUAAACUUGGCUUGAAUUUCCCAUUUUGACAAAUCUAUCUGAACUGGUAAAAGUCACACUCAUACACAACCUUUUAUAUACGGGUGAUUCUCACGAAAACUUGGUUUUAAAAAUGUCAAGCAUGAAAAUGUAAAAAUUGCUUAACUUUACUUUUUUCCCACCAGACAUUGAAAAACAAAGCCUGGAGUAAAUGGGAACAUUAAUUUAAAAACUUUUACUUAUCAUUUAACACUUUUUGUAACAUAAUUAAAAAAAUUAGUCCUAAAAAAUCUCAUUACCGCAACAGUCAGAAAACAUCAACACUGACAUAUUUUUAAAAUGACAUGACAAACCUGAAAGAACAUAAUUUGGAGAUUCUGCACAUGCAUUUAAAAUCAAAGUAUUAUGCUUCUAUUAAUUAAAUUAACAUUUAAUAAGCAUCUGUUGCGGUAAUGAUAAUCAAAAUGUCGUGUAAGCAUUCUGACAAGACAAUAUUUCAAAUUAACUGUAAAAAAAAUGAUCUUACCUGGUAGCCAUCUUGAAGUAACUGGUCCAUGUGCUUGGUCACUCAAAAUCAAACUUUAUUAAAAUUCUGUAUGUGUGCUUAAACUGUUCUCAAAAAGUGUUGUGGAGGAUGAGAACAUCAGGCAUGGACACAUCAUUUUCCUAAUUUUUCUUCAUUAUUAUUAUACAUGAAUAUUCAGUAAAUAUUUUUUCUGUCAUCUAAAGUAGUCUAGCAAAACAUCCAUUUUUUUUUCUUAAUAUUUUUGUGUUAAUUUGAUUAAAUUACAACAUAACGCAUGUUCAAACACAGCCGGACACAUUGCGGUAAUGAGAAUUUCAGCAGAAAAUGAGAUAAAAUUUACAAUUAUAAAUUCUUAUGUUGAAAUCACACAUUGUGCAAGGUAAAACACAGUAUUGUGUUAAUUCUGAUGCUUUUUAAUGUUACUAUAUUACACAUUUUAAAGCUAAAAUCAUUAGUGCCGUGGUGUUUCAAUGGUUUCGUGAGAAUCACCCAUA